rnacentral:rRNA from 1 species
AACGAACGCUGGCGGCAUGCCUAACACAUGCAAGUCGAACGCCCUCUUCGGAGGGAGUGGCGCACGGGUGCGUAACGCGUGGGAACCUGCCCUUAGGUUCGGAAUAACUCAGAGAAAUUUGAGCUAAUACCGGAUAAUGUCUUCGGACCAAAGAUUUAUCGCCUUUGGAUGGGCCCGCGUUGGAUUAGCUAGUUGGUGGGGUAAAGGCCUACCAAGGCGACGAUCCAUAGCUGGUCUGAGAGGAUGAUCAGCCACACUGGGACUGAGACACGGCCCAGACUCCUACGGGAGGCAGCAGUGGGGAAUAUUGGACAAUGGGCGAAAGCCUGAUCCAGCAAUGCCGCGUGAGUGAUGAAGGCCUUAGGGUUGUAAAGCUCUUUUACUGGGGAUGAUAAUGACAGUAUCGGGAGAAUAAGCUCCGGCUAACUCCGUGCCAGCAGCCGCGGU